rnacentral:rRNA from 1 species
GUCUCGUUGGUGACAGCGGAGGGAUCAUUACCGAGUUUCAACUCCCAAACCCCUGUGAACAUACCUUAAUGUUGCCUCGGCGGAUCAGCCCGCGCCCCGUAAAACGGGACGGCCCGCCAGAGGACCCAAACUCUAAUGUUUCUUAUUGUAACUUCUGAGUAAAACAAACAAAUAAAUCAAAACUUUCAACAACGGAUCUCUUGGUUCUGGCAUCGAUGAAGAACGCAGCAAAAUGCGAUAAGUAAUGUGAAUUGCAGAAUUCAGUGAAUCAUCGAAUCUUUGAACGCACAUUGCGCCCGCUGGUAUUCCGGCGGGCAUGCCUGUUCGAGCGUCAUUUCAACCCUCAAGCCCCCGGGUUUGGUGUUGGGGAUCGGCUCUGCCCUUCUGGGCGGUGCCGCCCCCGAAAUACAUUGGCGGUCUCGCUGCAGCCUCCAUUGCGUAGUAGCUAACACCUCGCAACUGGAACGCGGCGCGGCCAUGCCGUAAAACCCCAACUUCUGAAUGUUGACCUCGGAUCAGGUAGGAAUACCCGCUGAACUUAAGCAUAUCAUA